UAUUUCUCCUUGGCACCUUCCUGUGUUCGCAGCUCGCUACGCCUUGCCCUAUUUCUGUCGGUCUGUAAGUUCCUUGACCUCUCCUACUCCUGUGCCUGCCUCUGUACGGGCAACGAGUACCUGCUGGCUGACAAGAAGUUAUGUUCUGUGGGAUCUGAGCAUCCUGGAUAAAAAGACAUGGGCCCCUGGAUAUACAUCCUGAGGCAGAAGACAAGGACAUUGCCUGGAAGCCCUACGAAGGAGCAGCUGGCAU
rnacentral:lncRNA from 1 species